CAGAUUGAAUAUACCCGAUCUCGUCUGAUCUCGGAAGUCAAGCAAUCUCGGGCUUGGUUAGUACUUGGAUGGGUGACCGCUUGGGAAUACCAAGUGUGAUAAGCG
rnacentral:rRNA from 1 species